GUGGUUUUUACAUCAUAUUCGGUGGCUGG
rnacentral:piRNA from 1 species